rnacentral:rRNA from 1 species
AGCAGCCGCGGUAAUUCCAGCUCCAAUAGCGUAUAUUAAAGUUGUUGCAGUUAAAAAGCUCGUAGUUGAAUUUCGGGAUCAAUUAAUUGGUCGUGCCUCUGGUACGUACUGAUUUUAUUGGUUUCUCCCUUCUGACGAACCAUGAUGUCAUUAAUUUGGUGUCGUGGAGAAUCAGGACUGUUACUUUGAAAAAAUUAGAGUGUUUAAAGCAAGCUAACGCUUGAAUACAUUAGCAUGGAAUAAUGAAAUAGGACGUUUGAUCCUAUUUUGUUGGUUUCUAGGAUCGACGUAAUGAUUAAUAGGGAUAGUUGGGGGCAUUAGUAUUCAAUUGUCAGAGGUGAAAUUCUUGGAUUUAUUGAAGACUAACUACUGCGAAAGCAUUUGCCAAGGAUGUUUUCAUUAAUCAAGAACGAAAGUUAGGGGAUCGAAGACGAUCAGAUACCGUCGUAGUCUUAACCAUAAACUAUGCCGACUAGGGAUCGGAUGAUGUUAAUUUUUA